GACGAACGCUGGCGGCGUGCUUAACACAUGCAAGUCGAACGAAGUGGCGAACGGGUGAGUAACGCGUAAUCAACCUGCCCUUCAGAGGGGGACACCAGUUGGAAACGACUCCUAUUACCGCAUACUGAUGGACGGGAUUGCGACUGAUUCGCUAGUUGGAGGGGUAACGGCCCACCAAGGCGAUGAUCAGUAGCCGGGUUGGGAGGAUGAACGGCCAACUUGGGAAUGGGACACGGCCCAGACUUCUACGGGAGGCAGCAGUGGGGAAUCUUCCGCAAUGGACGAAAGGCUGACGGAGCAACGCCGCGUGAGUGAGGACGGCCUUCGGGGUGUAAAGCUCGGUUAAGCGGGACGCGUUACCGGAAGAGAAAGCCACGGCUAACUACGUGCCAGCAGCCGCGGUAAUUC
rnacentral:rRNA from 1 species